UCAAACUCUUGGGCUCAAGCUCUCUACCUGUCCUGGCCUCUCAAAGUGCUGGGAUUAUGGGUGUGAACCAUCAUGCCGGGCCGCUAAAUACAUUAAAUGCAUUAUAUAAUUUCAUUCUCACAACCCUGAGAACCAAGUACUGUUACUAUGUCCAUUUUUUUAUGAAGCACAGAUAAGGUAAAUAACUUUAAUGAGACCACAAAACCUAAGUUUUUAAAUUGAUACUUUAAUUAUGAUAAUUCACCAAGUGCAUGUCUCCCAUGAAUGUCUUGCAACGACAGCAUCAGGUCUGAAAAAAUGUGGUUGCUUUGGCAUUUCAUCAGCAUCUUGUGCCAUUCACAAUAACUUUGAAUAUUGUUCCUAAUGAGGAUAUACAUUCUCUGUACCUUCAUCGAAUUUAGCAUGAUUCCUCUGGCUAUUGAGAAUAGUCAUAACUACUGGAACUAAACUGGAUAAACUUGGAUAAGUUGAUGUUUCCUAAUCAAUUACUGGCUACCAAACCUGGCUCAAGGUUUUUAGACACCAACAUAAGCAUUCCAUUAAAUGAUACUAAUUUUGAGAGGCAUGUGAUGGCAACAUUUCCUGGAUCAAUUCCUCCUGCCUUAAGGAUACUCCACUGAAUUUGAUUGUGGUACAUACUAUGUUUGCUUUUAUAAAUUACUUAGGCCAACACUUGGUCCAAGUUGUCUUUGUAAAUGAAAAUUAUAAAUAUUUAAUGUGCUUUCAGUUACAUCCGUAUUUCUUCUGAUGGAUGUUUGCAGACAGCUUUAUCUGGUGAGACAUUCUAUUAUUUGUAAAAUUUAAGUUAAGCAAUAUUACCAUUUCAUUUAAUUCCAGUUUAGCACAAGUUUUUCCUUUGUAUACAAAUCUCCACAAGAGCAUUUAACACAUUUCAGUAUUUAGAAAUGUAAAUAUGUAUUUAAAAGUAGAUAGCAAAUUAAAAAGGAAUACUUGCUUGAAAUCAUAAAAUAUAAUACAGUUUCUUUUAAACAGUUAAUUUUCUUCCUACAAUUUACUUUCAUUGAAAGUAUGUUAUCAUUGUUUACAUACUAGAUAGAAGCAAUUUAGCAACAUAAAAUAUAUUAGCUAUAAUAUGUUCAAAAGAAUGAGAUGCAGAUUCAGAGAUGAAACCAUCAUUUUUUGCAGUU